rnacentral:lncRNA from 1 species
GGAGGCAUUAGAGCACAUUGCUGUAUCAGAGGAGGAGGAGGAGGAGGCAUUAGAGCACGUUGCUGCAUCAGAGGAGGAGGCAUUAGAGCACGUUGCUGUAUCAGAGAAGGAGAAGGAGGAGGCAUUAGAGCACGCUGCUGUAUCAGAGGAGGAGGAGGCAUUAGAGCACGCUGCUGUAUCAGAGAAGGAGGAGGAGGAGGCAUUAGAGCACGUUGCUGCAUCAGAGAAGGAGGAGGCAUUAGAGCACAUUGCUGUAUCAGAGGAGUAGAUGCAGUGUAUAAAUAUAUAUAUACAAGGAGUACCAGAUCAAUGUGUAGGGGUAAUAUAUAUAUACAGGGAGAACCAGAUCAAUAUGUAGGGGUAAUAUAUAUAUAUAUACAGGGAGAACCAGAUCAAUGUGUAGGGGUAAUAUAUAUAUACAGGGAGAACCAGAUCAAUGUGUAG